GAAGCUUCCUGGUGACUGUGUAAACUGGAAAGAAAUGAUACAGUGUGGAUCCAGCUACUUCACUGAAGCUGUAAAGGAAGAACGGCACGUGAAUAGCAGAAAAUGAGUUAGAAAUACUGAUUAAUGGCAAUUUCCUAGGAAGGCAAGGGGCUUAAGCAUGCUGAAGGCCCUUCUACCUAAAGCUGCCUGUGUUCACCACACCAAAGUCCCACCCCAACCCAAGUGGUGGCCUGUGAGUGCCAAGUCUCAGGAAAUUAUUUUCCUUUGGUUUUUGUUUUACUGCAAAAGCUAGACCUGAAUGAAUAUACUCCCAUCACCUGUCUGUGCCA